rnacentral:rRNA from 1 species
AUGACCGGUGCUGGCAACACCGCCGAGUGCCUUCGUCCACGACGUGUCCCCGAGCCUGGCAAGCCUGGUGCGGCGCUUCGUCAACUUCGUCUUCGACCGUCUACGCAUGCCCGGUGCUGGCAACACCGACGCGUGCCUUCGUCUACGAUGUGUCCCCGGGGUUGGCAAACCCGGCGCGACGCGUCGUCAACACCAUUCUCCUUCCUGGCGCAUCACUUCUUCGACACCACUGCGCCCAUGACUAACUCGGCGCCUCCUUGCGCCUGCGGCUCCACGGCGACUCCCUCGACACCGGCUACCCCGACUCGACAUCGACCACGGCGUUCUUCGCACGGCUACCUCGACCAUGGCUACACCACCCUAUGCUCUCGGCUACAUCAACAUCGGCACAAAGGGCUAUCAUCUGCUUGA